UAAUACGAAGGGUGCAAGCGUUACUCGGAAUUACUGGGCGUAAAGCGUGCGUAGGUGGUUCGUUAAGUCUGAUGUGAAAGCCCUGGGCUCAACCUGGGAAUGGCAUUGGAAACUGGCGACCUAGAGUGCGGUAGAGGGUAGUGGAAUUCCCGGUGUAGCAGUGAAAUGCGUAGAGAUCGGGAGGAACAUCCGUGGCGAAGGCGACUACCUGGACCAGCACUGACACUGAGGCACGAAAGCGUGGGGAGCAAACAGGAUUAGA
rnacentral:rRNA from 1 species